AAGGGAGGGGGUUGUUGAGAUACUACUGGCGCUGUCAGCGAAGGCCAGGCCAUGCUGGGCCUUGCAGGCCUUGAAGAUUUUAACCUUUGUUUCAAAGGCAAAGAGAAGCCAUUGAAAGCUUUUAAGUAGAAAUGUGACAUAAUUUUAUUUGUAUUUUGUAAAGAUCACUCUCACCACAUGAUUGAAAGAGCCAAGUAUGAGAAGAUAAAUGAGGAGACGCUUGGAGAAGUACAGGGGCACCACCAACACUUAAGCCUCCAUCUUCAGGCAAGAAAGUCUGUGAUAUGAAUGAAGGGAUCAUAAAAGGCACAUGGAAUCAAAGCUUUUGGUCAACUGCCAACAAGGUACAGAGGCCCAACAGCAAUCAUCGAAUGAACUUGGAAGUGGAUCCUCUCACCCCAGUUGAGCCUUCUGAUGACUGCAGCCCUGGCUGAUGCUUGACUACAACUUCAUCAGAAAUCCUCAUGAAGAUCCAGCACCUUCCAGUUAGCCCAUCUAUGAGAAAACCAAUGCUCCGAUGAGUGCAGUGACUUCCCAUGCCUGUGGAGAGUCUAUGCCUUUGAUUGGAUCCCCAGAGGUGGUUUUCACUUGCCCCCCAUUGCCUAUACCAUGUUGCCUUCCUGGAGUUGGUGGCCUUUGAGCUGGGCCUGGAAGAUUGGGUAGGACUUUAUGAAGUGGGGAUGGAGAGACAAGCUGUGCGAUGGGGAUGAAGAAGAUAACCCAGGUCAGAGGGAACAGCAUAAGCAAAGAUCUUGGCUCAACCAAGAGGCGGACUCACCGUGAUGUGAAUGCAGCUUGAGCAUCCAGGACUCUCCCCAGAUCCAGGGAGGGCCUCAGCGAUGUGUUCACGUUGUCAUAUUUUUAUAAAAUUUGCAAAGGUAAGAUACUUUAACCACAAUCAAAAUUACUAUUUUCUUCCCACUCCAACUUCCCUUGUGUUUCAAUUUUCCUUUAUGUGGGAUAAUUGGAGUGGCCAUGGGCACUUCUGGGAUCUGACCAAGGGGAAGCUGAGUGGGGGACUGAUUUGAGUUGGGUUCACUGGGAUAUGUUUAUGUGGUUUUCUGAAACAGAGGAUAUAUUAAUAUUUAUGUGGUUCUCUGUGUAUAGAUAAAUCAUUGCUAGUAAUCUCUGUGUAGAGAAUAGCUUCUAGGAAUUCUACCCACUGCCCAGCUCACUUGGCAUGGUGAUAUUAAGUUGCCAUAUGCAGAGGUCAUAUCGUGAUAUGAAUGUGUGUCAUGGCACCCAGCCCAGGAAGUAUAUGGGCAGUAGACAAGAAACAGGAGAAACCAGGUUUGAAAUGUACAGAGCCAGAAGCUAGUCUGUGGAAAAUUCUUCUAAUCAUCAGGGGGAGAAAAUGUGUCUCAGAGGUUAAGCAGGGCAGUUAAUAAAAGUAUUACGCAUUUUGGGGGGAUUGUGUGAUGUAUCUGUUUUGAUUUCUUUUCUCAUUAUAGGUAAAUAUAGGUACCUUGUACCUAAUUUUAUAUUCAUAAUUUUGUAUAUUUUUCUUAAAGAGGGCUCCUCAAAUUAUAAAACCUUCAGUUCCCACAAGGUCUACACAUCCAACCUUGGCUCCAUCAUUUAUUUUCUGUGUGAUCUUGGGGAAGUCACUUGUGCUUUCUGAGCCAGUUUCCUCUUCUAUAAAAUGUGAA
rnacentral:lncRNA from 10 species